UGCGUAGGCGGGUUGGCAAGUCGGGUGUGAAAUUCCAUAGCUUAACUAUGGACCUGCAUUCGAAACUGUUGAUCUUGAGUACUGGAGGGGUGAGUGGAAUUCUCGGUGUAGCGGUGAAAUGCGUAGAUAUCGAGAGGAACACCGUUGGCGAAGGCGGCUCACUGGACAGAUACUGACGCUGAGGACAAGGUCGGGGAGCGAAACA
rnacentral:rRNA from 1 species